AAUGAACGCUGGCUAUAGGCUUAACACAUGCAAGUCGAGCGGAAACGGCAUUAUGUGCUUGCACAUUUUGGACGUCGACCGGCGCACGGGUGAGUAUCUCGUAACCAACCUGCCCUUUACUUGGGAAUACCCCGUAGAAAGACGGCCUAAUACCCGAUGUAAUUCUUUGAUGGCAUCAGAUAUGAAUAAAAGAUUUAUCGGUAAAGGAUGGGGAUGCGUCUGAUUAGCGUGUUGGUGAGGUAACGGCUCACCAAGGCGACGAACAGUAGGGGUUCUGAGGGGAAGUUGCCGGACAGUGGAACUGAGACACGGUCCAGACACUGACGCGAGGCAGCAGUGAGGAAGAGAGGUAAAUGUGGGCAAGCCUGAACCAGGCAAGUAGCGCGCAUGAAGACGGGCCUAUGGGGUGAAAAAUGCUUUUAUACUAUAAUAAUUUUAUGCACGUGAGCGUUAUUGCAGGUAUCGGAGGAAUAAGGACCGGCUAAUUCCUU
rnacentral:rRNA from 1 species